rnacentral:rRNA from 1 species
CGAGACAGUUCGGUCCCUAUCUGGUGUGGGCGGAGCAGGAUUGAGGGAAUCUGUCCUUAGUACGAGAGGACCGGGAUGGAUCCACCUCUAGUGUACGAGUUAUGGCGCCAGCCGUAGCGCUCGGUAGCUAUGUGGAGUAUGGAUAAACGCUGAAUGCAUCUAAGCGUGAAGCCAGACCCAAGAUUAUUCCUGCCAGUGAGACUCCUCGUAGACCACGAGGUUGAUAGGGUGGAUAUGUAAGUGCAGUAAUGUACUCAGUUGACCACUACUAAUCAGUCCCUUGGCUUGACCAUAAAA